AUUCGCUUAGGGGGGAAAACGCCGCAGAAAGGGAAUUUGCUUCAAAGAUUUGUUCCUCUUCCUGGUGCACUCAGAUGCGCAUUCCUGAGCAGGGGCACCUUCGCCAGCGGCGUUUGAGGGGAGCGAGGACCGCGCAGCGCCCCUUCGGGGAGAGACGUGACCAGGAGUCGCGUUAGGACUGCAAAGGCUGGCUCUGGCGGGGCUUUCCGGUCGCCGGGCCCUCAAUGUGGGGUUUGGGACGGGACGAGAAGGGGGUGUGCCUUGCGGAUCGCUUCUUUCCCCCCGGACCCAAACAGUCCACGCGAGGCCACAGUCCCCUCUCCCCUCCCCCGAGUUGUAAAAAGGAGGAGGGGCCGCCUCCGAGGACAAACCCGAGUCGGGCGGAGGGGGCCGAGUGACGGCGGGAGGAAGGACCGACCCCUCGGAGGAAGGGCCCGAAGCAGGGAGAGCGGGGAACCCGGGCUCAGGCCACCCCGCCCGCGCGCAUGGCCUGGAGUCUGGGGAGCUGGGGUGACUCUAGCGAGGUUUUAAGGAAACGAAGACGGCGUUGGGGAGACUGGUUCUAGAAGUAACCUGAGACCGAGCGCCCAGGAACACUCUGUACGACGCGCCGGGCGUCUCAGUGGCCCCGUGUGCCUUGGUUCUGCGGCGUGUGGCCUUUCGGGAUCCCAUCUUCGUUGCAGAAGCAACCAUUUGAUCCUCCAUUUAGAAUCUGCGUAGAAAUGUUUAAAUGCGUCUUAGAAACCAGGCUAAUUAAAGAGUUUUCAAAACAC
rnacentral:lncRNA from 1 species